GAUAAUAAUGUUGUCUGUAUAUUUGAAGAUAAUGAGUCUGAGUCACCAUCAGCAGUGUUUCCUUGGAGCUGUUUUUCCCCAUCGUGAUGCCUCCCUUUGAGCUCCCGAGGCCGUGAUGAUCUGUAUCUAGAGAGAGUGCCACAUUCUAGUCUGCUUUCCUUCGUGCCCUGACUGAAACUAGAUACAAAAGCUGAUCUCACACCAGCCGUACAGAAUGAGAGCUGGCACACUUCUCUCCGAAUACUUUUCAUUUUGCAAGCCUGCAAGGAAGUAGCGAGUGUGCACACAGGUAAUUGCAUUAUCAGAGCAGCCGCGUCUGUGCCAAAAACCUCAGCUCUCUUAUCUGGCUCUAGUCAUCAUCGACUUUAAGACACCUGGCUGGGAAUAGUCCUACAGACUAUUGGAAGCAAAAACUAAUACAAAAUAAGAAGCACAACAAACAAAUAAAGCACUGUUCAGCGCUAUAAGAUACUAUGUCUUCAAACAUUCAGUAGCAACAAGUAAGUCCCACAAGAUGAGACAUGCAGAUGACCUGCAGAUGUAUGAGAAGAAUGCCCUGACCUUCCUAGCCAUCAGGGAAAUGCAGAUCAGAACCACAAAGAGAGAUCAUCUCGCUCUAGUAAGAAUGGCUCCUAGAAAAGUGACAAGAGGUGCUACUGGCAGGAAUGUCGGGGAAGUACAGGUGGUUUUGCAUUGUGAAGCAAAAUGGGUGUAAAAACACUGUCAAAUAGGAU